AUUGAACGCUGGCGGUAUGCUUUACACAUGCAAGUCGAACGGCAGCACGGACUUCGGUCUGGUGGCGAGUGGCGAACGGGUGAGUAAUGUAUCGGAACGUGCCCAGUCGUGGGGGAUAACGUAGCGAAAGCUACGCUAAUACCGCAUACGAUCUACGGAUGAAAGCGGGGGAUCGCAAGACCUCGCGCGAUUGGAGCGGCCGAUAUCAGAUUAGGUUGUUGGUGAGGUAAAAGCUCACCAAGCCUGCGAUCUGUAGCUGGUCUGAGAGGACGACCAGCCACACUGGAACUGAGACACGGCCCAGACUCCUACGGGAGUCAGCAGUGGGGAAUUUUGGACAAUGGGCGCAAGCCUGAUCCAGCAAUGCCGCGUGCAGGAUGAAGGCCUUCGGGUUGUAAACUGCUUUUGUACGGAACGAAACGGCGAGCUCUAAUACAGUUUGCUAAUGACGGUACCGUAAGAAUAAGCACCGGCUAACUACGUGCCAGCCGCCGCAGUAA
rnacentral:rRNA from 1 species